CGCUGGCGGCGCACNUAAGACAUGCAAGUCGAACGGAAGUCGUUACGAAAUGGAAUGAAGAUUUAUCUGAAUGAAGUUUUGUAACAUGGCUUUAGUGGCGGACUGGUGAGUAACACGUAAGCAAUCUACCUAUUAGAGGGGGAAUAACAAUGAGAAAUCAUUGCUAAUACCGCAUAAGCUUGUAGUACCGCAUGGUACAGCAAGAAAGGAGCAAUCCGCUAAUAGAUGAGCUUGCGGCUGAUUAGCUAGUUGGUGUGGUAACGGCAUACCAAGGCAACGAUCAGUAGCCGGGGCUGAGAGGCUCUUCGGCCACAUUGGGACUGAGAUACGGCCCAGACUCCUACGGGAGGCAGCAGUCGGGAAUUUUUGCGCAAUGGAGGAAACUCUGACGCAGUGACGCCGCGUAUAGGAAGAAGGUUUUCGGAUUGUAAACUAUUUUAGUCAGGGAAGAAAAAUGACAGUACCUGAAGAAUAAGCUCCGGCUAACUACGUG
rnacentral:rRNA from 1 species